UGGGGAAUUUUGGACAAUGGGCGAAAGCCUGAUCCAGCAAUGCCGCGUGUGUGAAGAAGGCCUUCGGGUUGUAAAGCACUUUUGUCCGGAAAGAAAUCCUUGGCUCUAAUACAGUCGGGGGAUGACGGUACCGGAAGAAUAAGCACCGGCUAACUACGUGCCAGCAGCCGCGGUAAUACGUAGGGUGCAAGCGUUAAUCGGAAUUACUGGGCGUAAAGCGUGCGCAGGCGGUUUGCUAAGACCGAUGUGAAAUCCCCGGGCUCAACCUGGGAACUGCAUUGGUGACUGGCAGGCUAGAGUAUGGCAGAGGGGGGUAGAAUUCCACGUGUAGCAGUGAAAUGCGUAGAGAUGUGGAGGAAUACCGAUGGCGAAGGCAGCCCCCUGGCAAGUACUGACGCUCAUGCACGAAAGCGUGGGGAGCAAACAGGAUUAGAUACCCUGGUAGUCCACGCCCUAAANGAUGUCAACUAGUUGUUGGGGAUUCAUUUUCCUUAGUAACGUAGCUAACGCGUGAAGUUGACCGCCU
rnacentral:rRNA from 1 species